GCUAGAGGUAUUGUUACAUGUAACACUGGCUUGCAUAAGGAAAUUUCGGCCAGUGUUAGUGUAACAAUCCCUUCGGCC
rnacentral:pre_miRNA from 1 species